ensembl:lncRNA
UAAAUAAAUAAAUAAUUAAUAUUUUACGUGUAUUUUUUUCUUUUUUGUACACACUAACAGUCUGGCAUCUUAUGCCUUAUGCGGUGUGUGUGUGUGUGUGUGUGUGUGUGUGUGUGUGUGUGUGUGUGUGUGUGUGUGUGUGUGUGUGUGCGUGUUCCAAGGAAAGGGAGGCGCUUCAAUCGGUGAAAGGGUAGACGAAGAGAGGAAGGGGAAGUUACACUGCGGCUGGGUGAGUCACUUACUUUCUUGCGUUCUUUGUCCGUAACUUUCAGAAUAAUAAUGAUGUAUGUGUACUCUUGCCUUCUUUGUGGUGAGUGUAUCCUUUUUUUUAUAUUCUCUGUAUCUCUGUAUGUAUAAAUGCUGCUGUAAUUAAGUAUUUUAGUGUUUUGGGUUUAUUUUGGAAAGUAAGUAAUGUGCAUUUGAAUUAAUUUAUGCAUUGACAUUAUGACAAUCACAAAAAUGUUUCCUUUAUUUCCACUUAGCUCUGAGUGUUGUGGCGGUGGAGCCUCUCAACUUAAAUGGACAUGUUGGGAAAAAUGUUACAUUCAAAUGCUCCGACUGGAACGUUUGGGCUGGUGUAAAAUCUAAUGUUAAGUACCUUUGUGAUAAUCCAUGCUCAGAAAACAAACACAUCAUCAUUAAAGCAGAAUAUGGAAAGACUGCACAUGAGAAUAGAAUAGAGUUAACUAACAGAGCAGAAGGUUUGUUUGUGACUUUCACUAAUCUCCAAAAGUCAGACUCUAAGAAAUAUUAUUGUGGAGUGGAGAGAUUUGGCCCUGAUCCCUUGAUAGAGGUGAAUCUUAAAGUUAUAGAUGAGUCUCCCAAGAAUACUCCAGCAACAUUUGCUGUUACAAGCAGCUCCACAGUGUCUUCAAGCAGCUCAGAUAGUAUUAGUGCUAUGUCUACAUCAUACAUCAUCCAUUGUACAACAACUACUGCACCAGCAACACAAAGAUCUGGAAGUGUUCCAUUUAUGAUUGUAGGUGUCAUUCUUAUACUAACCUUACUGAUUGCCCUUCUGUACCUUAUGAGGAAGAUGGCCAAAAAACAACUUGCAGACGCAUCACGUGCUGAUACACCACAAGAAGACAUGCGAGAGGAAGUUGAAUAUGACAAAAUCAGACCUGAGGACCAGCAAACUGCAUGCCAACCUGCAGGGGUCUCUACCCUCAGCUUCUCUGCAGACCCAGACAGUCUUUAUGCUAAUUAUUCCUCCCACCAAGGCACUGAAUUAGCAUUUUCCAGAGUCACAUUUCACCAAUGUGACUUGGUGUACUCUGUCAUUCCACUACCCAGUGAUCAAUCUGAACCAAAUCAAUCUGAAAGCAACACAAAUGACUCACUCUAUUCCAUGGCUCAGCUACCACAGGCAACCUGAAUGUGGCUACUGUGAGUGAAAAAAGGAACUUUCUUGAUCAUAUUGAUUAUGAUUUUUUAAAUGUAAAUUUAGAGAUAUAAUUUAAUAUAAAAUAAAAUGAGAGAUCAAAUGACAAGCAUAUUCUUUCAUCUUCAAUAAAGUAUCUUUCCGUUCAAUGAUAGUUUGGUAAGAGUAAUUACUUUUACUAAAUGGAUGGAUUUACUGAUAAUAAGCUUUCAGAAUAAUUUAAAUAAUACUUAGUGAGCAUCAAACUGCAAGUAACCCCCACCUUAAGAAAUAUGUUUGAUGCUUUACAUUCUGUAUUAAUAAUUGUAUUAUUUAGUGAGGAGUAAACAAGAAAGCCUGCCACUGUAUUAAACUUCAUGAUGCCAGAUUUGAAUCCCAAAACUCCUGUGACGUUGUCCAUCACUUGGUAGAAAGAACAUCUGCUUUGUGAUUCUAUUACUUUAUGAAAAUAUUUUAAAUUAACAAGUGGCUGAGACUGAGAGUACACAAAGACAUAUUCUUACUGAAAGGAUGUGUGUGAAGUUCAGUGAACAAACUGAAGUCUGCCUGUGACCCUGCUGGUUAUACAGUCUGCAGUAUAAAGUUGGAAUGAUGUUUUAUAAAAUGAAAUAUCCUAGAAACUGUACAUCACAGUUUUUUUUCUGAAUCUUAUCCUCACUAGUAGGCCUACUUAAUUAUGUAUUUUUAGAUCUUCUUCCUUUUUUGUGUCUUAGGCUUUUAUAAGGGUGAAUGGACGUGAUCCAGUAAUAUUCAUGAUGCUUCUGCCAUGUAUCAAGUAGAUCAGUAAGCUUUUUCUAUUUCAGACCACUUAGAGGAAGACUUGCCUCCCCAAAGCACCAUUACACAGCCCACAACUGUUUCACUUUAACAACUCACACUGGACCACUAAAUGCAAAUCUAUUGUUAUUUGAUUGUGAGGCACUUCAAGCCCAUUGUGUUUCUCUUUUUAAUAUAAAUAAUCCUCAGAUGUAUUUUGACAUAAAUUUAAAGUUAUUUGUUUAUUGUUGUUUUACUUCUACAAGAAUUGACCCUUUUGUAAACGUGUGUCUUUUUGUUUCAUUAUUUAUUCACAUAAUACAGUACAUUUAUUUUAGCAGGCUCACUUUGAGAACUGAAACUUUGCAUUAGUCACCUAUUACCUGAAACUAAAAGUGAUUUGCAUCUCUGUAAAGGGUGCUGUACAAAUAAUGUUAUCAAAUAAUUAAUUCAGAGAAUUGUGAAGUGUGUUCUUUAUAUUUGAGUUGUGCAAUUAAUAAAUCUGAGAGUUGAUGAGUUUUGUACUGUUAUGCUUUGUGGGGUUUUUUAUUGUGCACAGUGUGAGGCCUACAGUCUGUACUAGAAAUAGAUUUAAAUAGAAUUAAAUGUACAUUUCCUGCAUUCAUUUGAUUUUUAUUUAUUU